rnacentral:rRNA from 1 species
UACGGAGGGUGCGAGCGUUAAUCGGAAUCACUGGGCGUAAAGCGCGCGUAGGCGGCUUUUCAAGUCAGGGGUGAAAUCCCACGGCCCAACCGUGGAACUGCCCUUGAAACUGUAGAGCUUGAGUGUCGGAGAGGGUGGCGGAAUUCCAGGUGUAGGAGUGAAAUCCGUAGAUAUCUGGAGGAACACCGGUGGCGAAGGCGGCCACCUGGACGACAACUGACGCUGAGGUGCGAAAGCGUGGGUAGCAAACAGG